AUCUGCGAUAAGCGCCGGUAAGGUGAUAUGAACCGUUAUAACCGGCGAUACCCGAAUGGGGAAACCCAGUGUGACUCGUCACACUAUCAUUAACUGAAUCCAUAGGUUAAUGAGGCGAACCGGGGGAACUGAAACAUCUAAGUACCCCGAGGAAAAGAAAUCAACCGAGAUUCCCCCAGUAGCGGCGAGCGAACGGGGAGGAGCCCAGAGCCUGAAUCAGCAUGUGUGUUAGUGGAAGCGUCUGGAAAGGCGCGCGAUACAGGGUGACAGCCCCGUACACAAAAGCGCAUGUGCUGUGAGCUCGAUGAGUAGGGCGGGACACGUGGUAUCCUGUCUGAAUAUGGGGGGACCAUCCUCCAAGGCUAAAUACUCCUGACUGACCGAUAGUGAACCAGUACCGUGAGGGAAAGGCGAAAAGAACCCCGGCGAGGGGAGUGAAAAAGAACCUGAAACCGUGUACGUACAAGCAGUGGGAGCACCCUUUGGGUGUGACUGCGUACCUUUUGUAUAAUGGGUCAGCGACUUAUAUUCUGUAGCAAGGUUAACCGAAUAGGGGAGCCGGAGGGAAACCGAGUCUUAACCGGGCGUUAAGUUGCAGGGUAUAGACCCGAAACCCGGUGAUCUAGCCAUGGGCAGGUUGAAGGUUGGGUAACACUAACUGGAGGACCGAACCGACUAAUGUUGAAAAAUUAGCGGAUGACCUGUGGCUGGGGGUGAAAGGCCAAUCAAACCGGGAGAUAGCUGGUUCUCCCCGAAAGCUAUUUAGGUAGCGCCUCGUGAAUUCAUCUCCGGGGGUAGAGCACUGUUUCGGCUAGGGGGCCAUCCCGGCUUACCAACCCGAUGCAAACUGCGAAUACCGGAGAAUGUUAUCACGGGAGACACACGGCGGGUGCUAACGUCCGUCGUGAAGAGGGAAACAACCCAGACCGCCAGCUAAGGUCCCAAAGUCAUGGUUAAGUGGGAAACGAUGUGGGAAGGCCCAGACAGCCAGGAUGUUGGCUUAGAAGCAGCCAUCAUUUAAAGAAAGCGUAAUAGCUCACUGGUCGAGUCGGCCUGCGCGGAAGAUGUAACGGGGCUAAACCAUGCACCGAAGCUGCGGCAGCGACACUGUGUGUUGUUGGGUA
rnacentral:rRNA from 2 species